rnacentral:lncRNA from 1 species
AAUUUACUACAAGUUUGAUACAUCUUGUUCUUUCAUUUUUCUCUACCCCUAGGCUAUGCCGACUUGGGGUACCACUAUCUCUGGUCUCUGUGGUAGGGCGCUAUCUAUGGAGCUACGCCCUUGCCUCGCGCCGCCGCGCCGCUCACGUGUGAACCUGUAACACCCCGAAACAACGUGGGGUGAGAACUAACUCCAUAGUUCCCAGUGGG